CUUAAAAGGAAUUGACGGGGCCGCACAAGCGGUGGAGCAUGUGGUUUAAUUCGACGCAACGCGAAGAACCUUACCAGGUCUUGACAUCCCGAUGCUAUUUCUAGAGAUAGAAAGUUACUUCGGUACAUCGGUGACAGGUGGUGCAUGGUUGUCGUCAGCUCGUGUCGUGAGAUGUUGGGUUAAGUCCCGCAACGAGCGCAACCCCUAUUGUUAGUUGCCAUCAUUCAGUUGGGCACUCCAGCGAGACUGCCGGUAAUAAACCGGAGGAAGGUGGGGAUGACGUCAAAUCAUCAUGCCCCUUAUGACCUGGGCUACACACGUGCUACAAUGGUUGGUACAACGAGUUGCGAGUCGGUGACGGCGAGCUAAUCUCUUAAAGCCAAUCUCAGUUCGGAUUGUAGGCUGCAACUCGCCUACAUGAAGUCGGAAUCGCUAGUAAUCGCGGAUCAGCACGCCGCGGUGAAUACGUUCCCGGGCCUU
rnacentral:rRNA from 1 species